AUUGAACGCUGGCGGCAGGCCUAACACAUGCAAGUCGAACGAGUGGCGGACGGGUGAGUAAUGUCUGGGAAACUGCCUGAUGGAGGGGGAUAACUACUGGAAACGGUAGCUAAUACCGCAUACCAUCAGAUGUGCCCAGAUGGGCUUAGCUUGUGGGGGGGGUAACGGCUCACCAAGGCGCCGAUCCCUAGCUGGUCUGAGAGGAUGACCAGCCACACGGGCACUGAGAUACGGUCCAGACUCCUACGGUAGGCAUCAGUGGGGAAUAUUGCACAAGGGGCGCAAGCCUGAUUCAGCCAUGCCGCGUGUAUGAAGAAGGCCUGCGGGUUGUAAAGUACUUUCAGCGGGGAGGCGUUACCCGCAGAAGAAGCACCGGCUAACUCCGUGCCAGCAGCCGCGGUAAUUC
rnacentral:rRNA from 1 species